GGGGAAAUGGCUCAGUGGUAGAGCGUCUGCUUCGCAUGCUGAAGGCCCCGGGUUCGAUCCCCGGUUUCUCCA